rnacentral:rRNA from 1 species
CACGUAGGGCGCAAGCGUUGUCCGGAAUUAUUGGGCGUAAAGAGCUCGUAGGCGGUCUGUUGCGUCCGCUGUGAAAACUCGGGGCUUAACCCCGAGCCUGCAGUGGAUACGGGCAGACUAGAGGUAGGUAGGGGAGAAUGGAAUUCCCGGUGUAGCGGUGAAAUGCGCAGAUAUCGGGAGGAACACCAGUGGCGAAGGCGGCCCGCUGGACAUGUAUUGACGCUGAGGUGCGAAAGCGUGGGGAGCAAACAGG